ensembl:snRNA
AAAAAGGGCUUCUGCCAUGAGUGGCACACGGAGGGCAGAAUUGCUUGCUCUAUGUGCAGAAUGGACAUUAAGAGAUUUCAGAAGCAUAAUUUUUUUGAAGUAGGGCAGCUGGUGAUCGUUGGGCUUAGUGCUCCC